UACGUAGGGUUCGAGCGUUAAUCGGAAUUACUGGGCGUAAAGCGUGCGCAGGCGGUUCGCUAAGACCGAUGUGAAAUCCCCGGGCUUAACCUGGGAACUGCAUUGGUGACUGGCGGGCUAGAGUAUGGCAGAGGGGGGUAGAAUUCCACGUGUAGCAGUGAAAUGCGUAGAGAUGUGGAGGAAUACCGAUGGCGAAGGCAGCCCCCUGGGCCAAUACUGACGCUCAUGCACGAAAGCGUGGGGAGCAAACAGG
rnacentral:rRNA from 1 species